rnacentral:lncRNA from 1 species
GAACGAAAAUCUGUUUACUUCAUUCAUUGCCCCCACAAUUCUAGGCCUUCCAGCUGCAGUGCCAAUCGUUCUAUUUCUCCCCAUGCUGAUUCCAGCUUCCAAACACCUUAUCAACAACCGAUUAAUUACCACUCAACAGUGACUAAUUCAACUCACCCUAAAACAAAUAAUAACAAUAAAUAACAUUAAAGGACGAACCUGAUCCCUCAUGCUAAUAUCCCUAAUUAUCUUCAUUGCUACAACCAAUCUCCUCGGGCUCUUGCCCCACUCAUUCACACCAACUACCCAACUGUCAUAAACCUGGCCAUGGCAAUCCCCCUAUGAGCAGGUGCAGUAAUUACAGGCUUCCGCUUUAAAACCAAAAAUACCUUAGCCCAUCUCUUGCCACAAGGCACACCCUCACCCCUCAUUCCCAUACUAAUUAUUAUCCAAACCAUCAGCCUAUUUAUCCAACCAAUAGCCCUAGCCAUGCCCCUAACUGCUAAUAUUAUGGCAGGCCAUCUGCUCAUACACUUAAUCAGAAGUGCCACACUAGCGCUAUCAACUAUCAACCUCCCCACAACCUCAAUCAUCUUCACAAUUUUGAUUUUACUGACGAUUCUCGAAAUCGCUGUCGCCCUGAUUCUAGCCUAUGUUUUCACACUCCUAGUGAGCCUCUACCUACAUGACAAUACAU